rnacentral:rRNA from 1 species
AGAGUUUGAUCAUGGCUCAGGAUGAACGCUAGCUACAGGCUUAACACAUGCAAGUCGAGGGGAAACGACAUCGAAAGCUUGCUUUUGAUGGGCGUCGACCGGCGCACGGGUGAGUAACGCGUAUCCAACCUGCCCACCACUUGGGGAUAACCUUGCGAAAGUAAGACUAAUACCCAAUGACGUCUCUAGAAGACAUCUGAAGGAGAUUAAAGAUUUAUCGGUGAUGGAUGGGGAUGCGUCUGAUUAGCUUGUUGGGCGGGGUAACGGCCCACCAGGCGACGAUCAGUAGGGGUUCUGAGAGGACGGUCCCCCACAUUGGAACUGAGACACGGUCCAAACUCCAACGGGAGCA